UACGGAGGGUGCAAGCGUUAAUCGGAUUUAUUGGGCGUAAAGGGCGCGUAGGCGGGAAAAUAAGUUGGAUGUGAAAUCCCGGGGCUCAACCCCGGAACGGCAUCCAAUACUAUUUUUCUAGAGGAUGAGCGGAGAAAAGGGAAUUCCACAUGUAGCGGUGAAAUGCGUAGAUAUGUGGAAGAACACCAGUGGCGAAGGCGCUUUUCUAGCUUAUUCCUGACGCUGAGGCGCGAAAGCAAGGGGAGCAAACAGG
rnacentral:rRNA from 1 species